AAAGGAAUAGACGGGGGAGCGCACAACCGGUGGAGCAUGUGGUUUAAUUCGAUACGAAGCGAAAAACCUUACCUGGGCUUGACAUGUACCUGCUAAUCCUAUGAAAGUAGGACUCCUUCGAGGGUGGUACACAGGUGCUGCAUGGUUGUCGUCAGCUCGUGUCGUGAGAUGUCCGCUUAAGUGCGGUAACGAGCGCAACCCCUAUCGUAUGUUGCAUUUCAUGCGAAACUGCCGUGCAGCAAGCGCGGAGGAAGGAGGGGACGACGUCAAAUCAGCAUGGCCCUUACGCCCAGGGCUACACACAUCCUACAAUGGAAAGGACAAUAGGCUGCAAUGGAGCAAUCCGGAGCUAAUCCUUAAACCUUUCCUCAGUUCAGAUUGCAGGCUGAAACCCGCCUGCAUGAAGUUGGAAUCGGUAGUAAUCGCAGGUCAGCAGACUGCGGUGAAUACGUUCUCGCUCCUUGUACACACCGCCCGU
rnacentral:rRNA from 1 species